rnacentral:lncRNA from 1 species
ACAUUUCCAUUGUCAUUCUGUGCUGUCAAUUAUUUGUUCAUCCAUCUGUCUCUUCCACUCAUCUGUGAGCUCUAAGCAUAGGGACUGGGAUACAGCAGAUAUUCAAUAGAUGUUUACCGAAGAAAUGAAUAAACUACAACACUGAGAGACCUACUCCAGCAAGUGGAAUGACCUUGGAAAGGAACAAAAACUUCCAUUUGGAACUCUGUUUUCCCACAGUGGAUUAUUUUGUGGAGGUAUCAAAUCUGGACUAGCUGUGCUACACAACAGUGAGUGAUCAUGGAGCUGUUUAUCCCACUAGCUUACCAGAUAAGAGCAGAAUGGUGCCAUUCAUCAAGACAAGUGACAAUUAAAGAAGACCAGGUUUAUUACAAUAAAUACCACUGAAUGCCUACCAUGGGCCAAGCACUGAGGAUUCUGAAAGAA